rnacentral:hammerhead_ribozyme from 1 species
GUACUGCUGAGGAGUUCCACAAUAAGACGAAACAGCUGUCCAGUAC